rfam:Mycobacterium asiaticum strain 1245139.5 contig_22, whole genome shotgun sequence.
UUUGAUGGAGCCCAGCCACAGCGGCUGAUCCGCCGGUCGGUCCUGCCCGUAGGUCGCCAACAGCGCUUGCGCCUC